rnacentral:rRNA from 1 species
UAGUAACGGCGAGUGAAGCGGCAACAGCUCAAAUUUGAAAUCUGGCCCUCGUGGUCCGAGUUGUAAUUUGUAGAGGAUGCUUUUGGUUAGGUGCCUUCCGAGUUCCCUGGAACGGGACGCCAUAGAGGGUGAGAGCCCCGUCUGGUUGGAUACCGAGCCUCUGUAAAGCUCCUUCGACGAGUCGAGUAGUUUGGGAAUGCUGCUCUAAAUGGGAGGUAUAUGUCUUCUAAAGCUAAAUAUUGGCCAGAGACCGAUAGCGCACAAGUAGAGUGAUCGAAAGAUGAAAAGCACUUUGAAAAGAGGGUUAAAAAGUACGUGAAAUUGUUGAAAGGGAAGCGCUUGUGACCAGACUUGGGCCCGGUCAAUCAUCCAGGGUUCUCCCUGGUGCACUUGGCCGGCCCAGGCCAGCAUCAGUUUGUCGCGGGGGAUAAAGACGUUGGGAAUGUGGCUCCUCCGGGAGUGUUAUAGCCCUUCGUGUAAUACCCUGCUUCGGACUGAGGUUCGCGCAUCUGCAAGGAUGCUGGCGUAAUGGUCAUCAGCGACCCGUCUUGAAACACGGACCAAGGAGUCGUCUUCGUAUGCGAGUGUUCGGGUGUCAAACCCCUACGCGUAAUGAAAGUGAACGCAGGUGAGAGCUUCGGCGCAUCAUCGACCGAUCCUGAUGUUCUCGGAUGGAUUUGAGUAAGAGCAUACGGGGCCGGACCCGAAAGAAGGUGAACUAUGCCUGUAUAGGGUGAAGCCAGAGGAAACUCUGGUGGAGGCUCGCAGCGGUUCUGACGUGCAAAUCGAUCGUCAAAUAU